GCGGCGGCCUGCGUCAAAGCACGAGCCCGCGGUGAGCCCCUGCCCGCCGCCAGCCCCCAGCGCGGCCCCAGCGCGUAGCGCGGUCCCAGAGGUGCUCGGGCUGGAAGGGGCUCGCAGCCCGUCCCGCCCCAGCGCGCUCCCGCUGCGUGCUUGUCUACCGUGACGUGAGCAGUGCUGUCAGUGCAGCGGGAGGGUUCCCGAGGUGAGGUGGAAUCCUAACAGGGAUGCUCCCAGUGUGUUUUAGUCCUGAUCUGCGUUGCCUUUGCUGUGUGUGAGGGCAGCAGCCCAGCAAUGGAGAGGACUGCAGUGGAGAGCCUUUACUCUGUAAAGACUGGAUGUGGGGCCGUCACCGUCCCUGGAGGUGUUCCAGAGCCGUGGAGAUGUGGCACUGAGGGACAUGCCAGUAAUGUAGGUGUGGUGAAAGGAGGAAGUUAUCAGCCAAGGAAUGAAGACUGGUCUGAAGUUAUACAACUUGCGCUUCUUUCUCAAAAGCAAGUUCUGCCAGCGGUGUGAAGGAAUCAGUCCAAGAGCGAAACACGCAAAGAUGAACAGAAGGCUUUUACCUAUCACAAAAGAUGUUUGAGAAUCAGAGAUAAAAUGAGGUAAAGAAAUCAAGAGGGCCUUGCCUUUUUGUCUCAGCAUAAGAAGACGUAACAUUUUUUUUGCCUGAAGCUAAGAUCCCCUUGUUCCUUUUCCCCAUCACUUCCCUUAAAUGUCUGUUUCCUCUCUGAGUCAGCUCACUGGAGCAGCCAUCGUCAGUCACUGGGCUGGCACUGGCAGGUUCUUCUAAAAGACAGUGAUUUUGAGUAGCCACCAUUUUAGCACAAAUGGCACUGUUUAAAGCAUGUGUAUUGGAAAAUAUACCCUGGAUGUCAGCACUGGAAAUGUCCAGUGCCACUGUCAAAUCUAGAGAUAAGGAGUUCAAAUAGCCUCAAACUCCUGUUUACAGAUCACGUCCAGCCCUAGAAUCCUACUGAGCAGACUUUCACUCGUGCCCUGCACACACGCUCCUUCCUCAGUCACAUUAAAGAUGGUAACAACUG